UAUGUAAUUUAAUAAUAAUAAUAUUUGUAAACCCGGUCAGGUCUGAAAAGAAGCAGCCGUAUCAAAGAAUUGUUUUAAACAUUUUACUUAACA
rnacentral:SRP_RNA from 1 species